rnacentral:tRNA from 1 species
GCAGGUGUAGUUUAGUGGUAGAACUCCACCCUUCCAAGGUGGUCGUACGAGUUCGAUUCUCGUCACCUGCUCCA